rnacentral:rRNA from 1 species
UUUCUGAAGGCUACACGCCAACAUUGUGAAACGCACUCUCGGGUGCAUUGCUUGGGUGCUUUCGGGCGCCCCACUAUCAACCUAUUUUUUUUUUAAUCUGAAAACCAAGAAAAUUCAAAACUUUCAACAACGGAUCUCUUGGUUCUCGCAUCGAUGAAGAACGCAGCAAAGCGCGAUAGGUAAUGCGAAUUGCAGACGUGAGUCAUUGAAUCUUUGAACGCACAUUGCGCUACUAGGUUCUCCUAGUAGCAUGCUUGUUGGAGCGCCGAUCUUUCUCCUCUACCUGUUUCUUAGGAGACGGGCAGGAGGGUCCUGCUCCCGCCGGGAGUGAAAAGAAUGGAAGUGCACACGUUAGAUAACUCUGUGCAGUUACACUUUUUUAAUUUUGGCCCCCAAUCAAGCAAGGCUACCCGCUGAACUUAAGCAUAUCAAUAAGCGGAGGAA